GGAGAGAGGAGGGCAUCUGAAUGUGGACACACCCUGCUGUGAGGGCUGUGGGCGGUCCUCAGACUGGAGCCAGCCCCCAGGCUCAGCUCAGCUCAGGGACCUCGUGCCCAGGCUUUCCUGGGGAGGAAGGUGUUGGAUCUCCUGCCUCUUUGUAUUCAUUCACACUUUGGGUUUCUCUCUCUUCCGCGCAUUCUAACAUCUGCAGGACUUUUUUUUUUUUUUUUUUGCGACAGAGUCUCGCUCUGUCGCCCAGGCUGGAGUGGAGUGGCGCGAUCUCAGCUCGCUGCAAGCUCCGCCUCCUGGGUUCACGCCAUUCUCGUGCCUCAGCCUCCAGAGUAACAGGGACCACAGGCGCCCGCCACCACGCCCAGGAACUGCUCACGGCCACCUCUGUGGAUGAACACCUAGCGGCUGCUCUAAAUACAUGCUGUGAAAGUUGUCAGAAUCAAAAUGGAGUCACUAAUGUUAAGAAAGCCCUGACAAAGAGUGGUGGGGAAGGCCAUGAAGAGAGGACACUUAUGCUUGCGUGCCUGAUACCAGAAAGGACUACAAAAACCACAACCCGGCACAGAGGCCAUCACACCCUUACACAAAAAAUAUUUCUGCAGGGACAACUGCCCAGCAAUUGCCUGUCCAACCUCAGACUGGAAUGACCUUUGUUAUUGAUGUUUGUAGCCAAGGAGAAUUAUCUCAAAACCAUUGUGAUCCUGCUCAUUUUUCCUUUAAAGACCUUUGUCUUCCUUGACCUCCCUGAAUAGGCAUAUGGUUUACUAUGGCGUGUGUACUCUCCUUGUAAUGUUCUGUUCUCAAGCUAAUAUCUGUUCUUCUAGAGAACCUCUCUCUUAGGCUGACAACGCUGUGGAUCUGGGCUCCCAGGAACUGGGGCUGACAUCAGAGGGGUGGAAAGAGAACAGCAGCUCUCCCUGAGGGGAUGCUUGCCAAGGAUAAGGAGAUGAUGGUUCUCUAAGGAUUAUUUUAUAUUCAUCUAAAAGGGUAUUUUUGUUGUUACCCCUAGCCUUUUUUCCCUUUUAAUUUUCUGAUGAAUAAUUUAUAUAAAGAAAACCCAUUCUAAGUGUGCAAUUCUAUGAGUUUUGAC
rnacentral:lncRNA from 1 species